AGUGAACGCUGGCGGCGUGCUUAACACAUGCAAGUCGAACGAGAACGGAAUAUAGCUUGCUAUAUUUGUCAGCCAGGUGGCGCACGGGUGAGUAAUGUAUAGAUAACCUGCCCUUAAGAAAGGAAUAACAGUUGGAAACGACUGCUAAUGCCCUAUAUGCCUUUAAUACAUAAGUAUGCAAGGGAAACGCUUUAGUGCUAAGGAUGGGUCUGUAUGGUAUCAGCUUGUUGGUGAGGUAAUGGCUCACCAAGGCUAUGACGCCUAACUGGUUUGAGAGGAUGAUCAGUCACACUGGAACUGAGACACGGUCCAGACUCCUACGGGAGGCAGCAGUGGGGAAUAUUGCACAAUGGACGAAAGCCUGAUGCAGCAACGCCGCGUGGAGGAUGACACAUUUCGGUGCGUAAACUCCUUUUAUAUAGGAAGAUAAUGACGGUACUAUAUGAAUAAGCACCGGCUAACUCCGUGCCAGCCGCCGCAGUAA
rnacentral:rRNA from 1 species